rnacentral:rRNA from 1 species
UACGAAGGGGGCUAGCGUUGCUCGGAAUCACUGGGCGUAAAGGGCGCGUAGGCGGACUCUUAAGUCGGGGGUGAAAGCCCAGGGCUCAACCCUGGAAUAGCCUUCGAUACUGAGAGUCUUGAGUUCGGAAGAGGUUGGUGGAAUUGCGAGUGUAGAGGUGAAAUUCGUAGAUAUUCGCAAGAACACCAGUGGCGAAGGCGGCCAACUGGUCCGAUACUGACGCUGAGGCGCGAAAGCGUGGGGAGCAAACAGG